CUUUACAAAGCUGUCUGACUCAUCAGGCUGAUUUUCUCUAAGGAAAGGGCCAUGUUUUAUUCAUUUUUUUUACUCUUGUCUAACACAGCACAGUACAUGUGAAAUGAAUAUGGUAUGGAUGACUCUUCUGGGCAACCUUUUACAACUGGUCUCCAGUGGUUCAUAUCAAGAAGACUGAAAUUUUCUUGCCAAAAUUAAGCGCUCGUCAGUGGUGGGGGAGCUGGGCAACGGCAAGGAAGCAGCUGACUAUCUCCAAUCACCUGAUGGCGCAGACAAGCCAGCUAACUCUGCAGCAAGGAAAGCAUCCUCAAAUCAGCCACAGCAGGGCUCAAAACUGUGCUCCUUUAACAAUCACAGUCUUUCUUACUUGAUUCUUUUAACUUAUCCGCCCAUUCCCUUAUUUGCUUUUGGCAGUUCCAUUUCAACCUGCUACAGAAAGAGGUGUGCACUUUCCUUUCAUGGCCAUCCCUCAUCCUGGUUAAUUUCCUGGCUGUCCUCAAUGAUUUGCCAUUAUUAUGAUUCACCCUGAAUACUGUCAUACAUAAUCAGCCAUCACUUUGUUCUUGCUGCCUGAUUUAAGUCAUUUAUUGAUUGAGCAUCUAGAAAUUUCCUCCAUUUAUGAGUGGUCAAAGUUAAAUUUUAACCAAAAUCUAGUACUUUAAGAAAAUGAUCAUGGAUAAAUAUAAAUGUUGCCAGGCU
rnacentral:lncRNA from 1 species